rnacentral:rRNA from 1 species
UGAGGAAUAUUGGUCAAUGGGCGGGAGCCUGAACCAGCCAAGUCGCGUGAGGGAAGACGGCCCUAUGGGUUGUAAACCUCUUUUGCCGGGGAGCAAAGCGCCGCACGUGUGCGGCUUGGAGAGUACCCGGAGAAAAAGCAUCGGCUAACUCCGUGCCAGCAGCCGCGGUAAUACGGAGGAUGCGAGCGUUAUCCGGAUUUAUUGGGUUUAAAGGGUGCGUAGGCGGCUCUGUUAAGUCAGCAGGUAAAAUUGGCGGGCUCAACCCUCGCCGAGCCGUUAGAAACUGGUAGACUUGAGUGGGCGAGAAGUACGCGGAAUGCGUGGUGUAGCGGUGAAAUGCAUAGAUAUCACGCAGAACUCCGAUUGCGAAGGCAGCGUACCGGCGCCCAACUGACGCUGAAGCACGAAGGCGUGGGUAUCGAACAGGAUUAGAUACC